UACGUAGGGGCUAGCGUUGUCCGGAAUCAUUGGGCGUAAAGCGCGCGUAGGCGGCCCGGUAAGUCCGCUGUGAAAGUCAAAGGCUCAACCUUUGAAUGUCAGCGGAUACUGCCAGGCUAGAGUCCGGAAGAGGCGAGUGGAACUCCUGGUGUAGCGGUGGAAUGCGCAGAUAUCAGGAAGAACACCAACGGCGAAGGCAGCUCGCUGGGACGGAACUGACGCUGAGGCGCGAAAGCGUGGGGAGCGAACAGG
rnacentral:rRNA from 1 species